GGCCGCUUGGCCCAAUGGUAAGGCGUCUGACUACGACCGAGCGCGGUUAAACACGCUUGACAAGUUAUCAGGAGAUUCUGGGUUCGAGCCCCAGGGUGGUCA
rnacentral:tRNA from 1 species